rnacentral:lncRNA from 1 species
CUCCCAGGAGGCUCAGGGGGGCACGGAGGACCGCACCGGGUCAGGUGUCUGCUCAGGCCCCGCCCCCGCCGAUCUCCGAGGAGACACGACAAGGAAGGGGCGGGGGGGGGCGGGGUUCCGUCACCGCCGAAACCGAACGUCUUGGCUAUCUUAACGACCACUGAAUCAGCGAGUCCACCGUGUUUUUCCACCGUCAAGUCGUUUCUGGGCUGCUGUGGAGACACGCCCUUCCUGGGUUUAAUGGCUUCGCUGUCCGGCGCUGGGGAGGAGGCGUGUUUACUUUUCGCAGGGAAAAUAGCGGUUCACGGUGGGACGGUGGACCUGCUUAGUAAUCGGGUGAUUUAUCCCAGGAACGUUCUUUGGGUUUUCCUGGUGGUUUGCGCUUGAACUUCGGCCGAGUGAAGUGGGAGGAGGCGGUAGGAGGAAGGUGGCUUCGGGGAGAAAGGGAUGGGCUCGGCUCAGGGACGAGGCCGAGCUCGAGGGACAGGUGGAGGUGUGCGCAGAUCUGGGAGGAUGCCGCUCCGCCCGCUCUCCCCGACUCCUCCUCAAUGUGCAUUCACUCGCUUGCUCACGCCAUCCCUCAGUCGUUCCUGCCUUCAGGGCUUCGAAUUCCGACCACCGUCUCUGUGCUGGGGAAGCAGCACACCUGCUGAGGCCCGGGCUCCGCGGCGAUGAACAGGCUUUCCCUCCUUCGGAGGAGAGCCCAGACUCCGCGGAGGAGACAGAUGGCCAAAUAGAUCGUUCCCAAUAGGGCUGUGUUCAAAUGACAGGAGGUAAGAACAGCUAAGUGCUGGACACUGUUCCAGGUGCUUUUCAUGUAUUAAAUCGUUCAUUUCUGUCAACAAUCCUAGGGGCUAGGUCCUGAGAAACUGGAGGCACAGAAACGUAAGUAACUUACUGAAGGUCACACAGCAAACAGAUUUGCACCCAGGCUGUCUGUCCAGCCUUUUACCAUCGUGAUCUCCAGCUCUGCUUUGGAAAUGAGGUAGGUCUGCCGCAAAAAAGGAGAGAAGGAUUUUUAGAAUCCGGGUCUUGAGGAGGAAGUAGGGAAGUUUUUGAGGUAGAGGAAGCAGCAACACCAGGCCCCCAAAGUUGAGAGUGCCUGCCACAUGCAGAAAGGCGCAGGGCUGGACGUGACCUGAGAGGGGAAAUGGCAGGCAGGCACGGAUGAUGAAACUUUACUGAAGGAGGGGGUGGGAUGGUCUGAUUUUAAACGAAGAAAGAGCUCUCAGGGGGCUCAGUGGAGGACAGAUUGUGGGCGGGAGUAGAUGAGAGCCAGGGGGAGUGGGCUCCUGCCAUUUCAGCCUUCUGGGGCCCUGUCCCUUUUGCCCUGAUCUUCCCCAGGGCCCGCUGCCCCUUGCUCUCCAGCGCGGUUUGGCUGACUCCGGCUAGACUUGAGGGUGGGCACGUGACUCAGGUCUGGCCAAUCAGCCUCUUCCAUCCCUCUGGCCGCAGGGAUUGGCCCAGGAGUGUACCUGUGACUCAAGUCAGGCCAAUGAGACUCAAUUCUGGGGUUUUUGUUAGACCUGCUCGGGGAAAGGAGGCUCUUUCUCAGGUUGCUGGGUGGGAGUGUGAGUCCGGGAGAAGCCUCUGCCUGAGAAUGAAGCUGCGUUAGUUUGCUGGGGCUGCAAUAACUAAGCAGCACGCAGCUUAAACCACAGACAUUUAUUUUCCCUCAUUUCUGGAAGCUGGAAGUCCAAGAUCAAGGUGUCGAAAGGCUGGUUUCUCCACUUGGCCUGCAGAUGGCCGUCUUCUUCUGGUGUCUUCACGUGGUCUUCCUUCUGUGUCCCAAUCUCUUCCUUUUAUAAGGACACCAGUCAUAUGGAUUAGGGCCCACCCGUGUGACCUCAGUUUACCUUCAUUACCUCCUUAAAGAACCCAUCACAAAAUAUAGCCAUGUUCUAAGGUACUGGGGGUCAGGAUUUCAAUAUAUGAAUUCGAGGGGAGGGAACACAAUUCAGCCCAUAACAGAAGCCAACACAGACAAACACAUGGAGGUAGGGGGAGAGAUCAAGGCCUGACCUGAUUUGAGCCCCUGGAUCCAACUGUGCUUGAAGCUGAAGCUAAUACUAUCCUGGACUCUUGAGUUUCAUGAGCCAGUAAGUACCUCAGCCUCAUUCCUCUCUUUUUUUCUUAAACUAGUUGAGUUUCUGUUACAGCUAAAAUUCCUGAGCGGUACACAAGGGAACCAGUUAGCAAACUAAGAUAGUCUACACCUGAUGAAAUGACAACUUGCAAGGACAGUGCUUGUAUCUGCACCCAGGGCUGUCCAAUUCCAAUAGGCAGAGGUAGCAGGUCAGAAGAAAGUGGGCCGAGCUGGUGCCAGCCUCUUCCCACAUAGGCAGGCGGUGCCACCUUAUCCCAGAAGCCAUGCCGGACAGAGCCAGAAAACCCUCCUUUCCCACCAGUGUUGACUGUGUGGAAUAGGCGGGUGCUGGCGGGUGUUGUUGGGUUGUAGAAGUCUUUUGAGAAGGGCAGAAAGCAUUUUGGAAAGCCUUGGCAAUGAGCUUGGGACAUCACCUCACAGGUUGCCGGGUGCUGCCCAGAGAUGCUCAGAUGGAACUCGAAGGAGCAGGGCCUUGGUUCCAGGAGGUUCCCUGCAGGAGUGGCAGAAUGAGCUCCCCGAGCAUCCUCGGACCCGGCUGUCUGGGCCAGAGCCAGAAUGGUUCUCGGGCCGUUUCUCACCCCAAUUUCAAAGGCUUCGUCUUCCACUGAAGGAAAAGCUUGCACUUUCACAGUGAAAAAUUUAAGGAAAGAUCAUCCACGUAUCGUCCAAAGUCAAUUACUACAUCCAUCCUCAAGUCCAGGGUCUCUGAGUGAUGAAGUGCAGCCCACUCAUCAGGUCCAGAUGUGAGAAGAGACUGCCUGUCUGUUAUCUUAGCUUCAUCUGAGACAGAAGUCAGGAUGGCUGUCUUUUCUGGGGGCUGCACAUUUUUUCUUGGUACAAGUUUGACCCCCAAGGAUUUUUUUUUUUUUUAAAGAUUGGUACCUGAGCUAACAACUGUUGCCAAUCUUUUUCUUCUUUUUUUUUUUUCUGCUUUUUCUCCCCAAAUCUCCCCAGUACAUAGUUGUAUGUUGUAGUUGUGGGUCCUUCUAGUUGUGGCAUGCGGGACACCUCCUCAGCAUGGCCUGAUGAGUGGUGCCAUGUCGGCGCCCAGGAUCCAAACCGGCGAAACCCUGGGCCACUGAAGCAGAGUGCAUGAACUUAACCACUUGGCCAGAGGGCCAGCCCCUCAAGGAUUAUUUUUAGGGUUUAACUGUCACCAGCUAUCAUCGGCCAGGCUUGGACUGUUUCAGAGAUAUUCAUCUCUCAGAAAUGUAAUGGAGAUCCAGUCUUUGAUUCCAGAGACUUCCGUGUACAAGUCACCACAGCAAAGGUUUUCGUCUAGACGUGGUAUGUGAGCCUAAGUGGUCCCAUGUUCCACCCGCUCUCUCUCUGCUCUGCCCAGACCUCUAGUCCUUGGUCUAUUGGCUGGUUCUUGGGGGCGAUUUAAAGUAGGAACCUUGGGUGGAGAGUCUCUUCCUUUAGUUUGAUCUUUGCAUGUUGCUGUUCCUCCUUUAUUAGACAGAGAAAGUUCUAGACAAUAGCCUGAGGCACUGGUCUAAUUUCCUGCUAACGCUGUAGCUUCAUUGCUGUUACUCAGGGUUUUUCAACUUGUAACUCUUCAAAUGAUGGGAUUCUCGGUCGAUUUCGAUUAUAGGCUGCAGAUUAUGCGCCCCUCUUAGCAAAGCUACAUGGCUCCCAUCGGCUUGCACACUGGCCAACUCUGGUCUGAGACCAUCUUUCUCUUUUAGGAUUUUAUUAAAAAUGACAAGAAGUAGCCAGCAUGGACUAAUAUUCGGAAUUUUCCUAUCAUUUCUUCUGACUCUAUGACCUCAAUUGGCAUGAAGUCUUAUGGUAGAGCAGGCAACAGUUUGACUAAAUGUUUGUCACUGCGUGAAAAGGGCCACCUGCUUCAGCCAUUAAUGAUCAGGUCCUUCUUCCCCCAUGCUUUAAGUUCUGAUACUUUCCUUACCCUACUCCUGGUACCAAUAUUUUUUAAAAAAUCAGAACUUUUAGUGUGUGCAACAGAAAUUGACUCUGGCUUAUUAAGCAGAAAAAGAUACUAAUUAAAGGAUAUUGGGUAAAUUAGAAUUGUUGCAAGGGCUGAAGAAUCAGA